rnacentral:rRNA from 1 species
UACGGAGGGUGCAAGCGUUAUCCGGAUUUACUGGGUUUAAAGGGUGCGUAGGUGGGUUGGUAAGUCGGGUGUGAAAUCUCGGAGCUUAACUCCGAAACUGCAUUCGAUACUGCCGUGCUUGAGGACUGGAGAGGAGACUGGAAUUUACGGUGUAGCGGUGAAAUGCGUAGAUAUCGUAAGGAAGACCAGUGGCGAAGGCGGGUCUCUGGACAGUUCCUGACGCUGAGGCACGAAGGUCAGGGGAGCAAACGGG